rnacentral:rRNA from 1 species
GGGAGUUAUGACCGCAAGGUAAAACUCAAAUGAAUUGACGGGGACCCGCACAAGUAGUGGAGCAUGUGGUUAAUUCGAAGAUACGCGCAGAACCUUACCAACACUUGACAUGUUCGUCGCGACUCUAAGAGAUUAGAGUUUUCGGUUCGGCCGGACGAAACACAGGUGCUGCAUGGCUGUCGUCAGCUCGUGUCGUGAGAUGUUGGGUUAAGUCCCGCAACGAGCGCAACCCUCACUUUUAGUUGCCAUCAUUAAGUUGGGCACUCUGAAAGAACUGCCAGUGAUAAGCUGGAGGAAGGUGGGGAUGACGUCAAGUCCUCAUGGCCCUUACGUGUUGGGCUACACACGUGCUACAAUGGUAUCUACAACAGGAAGCAAGACUGCGAAGUUUAGCAAAUCCCUAAAAGAUACCUCAGUUCGGAUUGCACUCUGCAACUCGAGUGCAUGAAGCUGGAAUUACUAGUAAUCGUGGAUCAGCGUGCCACGGUGAAUGCGUUCCCGGGUCUUGUACACACCGCCCGUCACACCAUGGGAGUUGGUUCUACCUUAAGGCAAGGUUUAAAAUCCUUGACCACGGUAUAGUCAGCGACUGGGGUGAAGUCGUAACAAGGUAGCCGUAGGGGAACCUGCGGCUGGAUCACCUCCUUUCU